GACGAACGCUGGCGGCGUGCUUAACACAUGCAAGUCGAACGGAAAGGCCCUGCUUUUUUGGGGUUCUCGAGUGGCGAACGCGUGAGUAACACGUGUGUAACCUGCCCUUGACUUUGGGAUAACUUCAGGAAACUGGGGCUAAUACCGGAUAGGAUCUCCUGCUGCAUGGUGGGGGUUGGAAAGUUUCGGCGGUUGGGGUUGGACUCGCGGCUUAUCAGCUUGUUGGUGGGGUAGUGGCUUACCGAGGCUUUGACGGGUAGCCGGCCUGAGAGGGUGACCGGCCACAUUGGGACUGAGAUACGGCCCAGACUCCUACGGGAGGCAGCAGUGGGGAAUAUUGCACAGUGGGCGGAAGCCUGAUGCAGCAACGCCGCGUGCGGGAUGACGGCCUUCGGGUUGUAAACCGCUUUCGCCUGUGACGAAGCGUGAGUGACGGUAAUGGGUAAAGAAGCACCGGCUAACUACGUG
rnacentral:rRNA from 1 species